rnacentral:siRNA from 1 species
CCUACCAAUAACUUCAGCUGC